CAUAAAACAUUGGUUCUCGUCAGCUCAACGAAGUUAAGCAACGUCGAGCCUGAUCAUUACCUAGAUGGGUGACCGCUUGGGAAUACCAGGUUCUGUAAG